rnacentral:rRNA from 1 species
CAGCCGCCGCGGGAAAACGUAGGGUGCGAGCGUUAAUCGGAAUUACUGGGCGUAAAGCGUGCGCAGGCGGUUGUGUAAGACAGGUGUGAAAUCCCCGGGCUUAACCUGGGAACUGCGCUUGUGACUGCACAGCUAGAGUAUGGCAGAGGGGGGUGGAAUUCCACGUGUAGCAGUGAAAUGCGUAGAGAUGUGGAGGAACACCGAUGGCGAAGGCAGCCCCCUGGGCCAAUACUGACGCUCAUGCACGAAAGCGUGGGGAGCAAACAGGAUUAGAUACCCCCGUAGUCCCUGUCUCUUAUAA